GCUGCUUGUUUGCCUUUUGGCUAAGAUCAUGUGUAGAAUCUGUUCUAAUCAGUUUAAUAUCUGAUACGUGCUCUAUAUGAGGACUACAUAUUAAACUGAUUUUUAGAACAGGAAGACGGAAGAGGGGCUUGCUCCGUCCGCUCCACGCAUCGACUCUGGGAAUGGUUGGGGGCAGUCGUG
ensembl:snRNA U2 U2 spliceosomal RNA